rnacentral:rRNA from 1 species
GUGGGGAAUUGUUCGCAAUGGGCGCAAGCCUGACGACGCAACGCCGCGUGGAGGACGAAGAUCUUCGGGUCGUAAACUCCUUUCGAUCGAGAAGAAUGCCUUCGGAGCGAAUACCUCCGGAGGGUGACGGUAUCGAGAGAAGAAGCCCCGGCUAACUCUGUGCCAGCAGCCGCGGUAAUACAGGGGGGGCAAGCGUUGUUCGGAAUUACUGGGCGUAAAGGGCUCGUAGGCGGCCAACUAAGUCACACGUGAAAUCCCCAGGCUUAACCUGGGAACUGCGUCUGAUACUGGGUGGCUUGAAUCCGGGAGAGGGAUGCGGAAUUCCAGGUGUAGCGGUGAAAUGCGUAGAUAUCUGGAGGAACACCGGUGGCGAAGGCGGCAUCCUGGACCGGUAUUGACGCUGAGGCGCGAAAGCCAGGGGAGCAAA